rnacentral:piRNA from 1 species
UCAUUGCCAAUUGCAGCUUAUUCUUUCUGUC